rnacentral:lncRNA from 1 species
AAGGAGGACACAAUGGGGUCAUGAUAAAGCCCUUAGCACAGCAGCUGGCACUCAGAGAGAUUGAGAAGCCAGAAGAAGGUUCUGGAUCCCCUGGACAGAGCUGGAGUCACAGGGGGCAGUAAGUUGCCUGACAUCAGCUCAGAAAAUAUCUGGGAUCUUCUAGAGAGCAGGUACUUUUAACUAGAGAAUGGAGCCAUCAUUCUAACAGGUGAAGGUCUCCAGGAACUCUCCACCUAUGGAUGUUGCAGAUAUUGGAGUUGCAAAAUGGAAUCCACCAAUCAUGGUGGCACUAUAUUUACCAAUCUUAACACUCAUUUUCAGCUCUCCAUCUAUGAUCCAUGGGAUGAUAGUUGUCAGACUGCAGUCAUGGGUAAAAUUUACCCUGAUGGCUAUGCCAAAUACCCAGUAGCUGACCUGCACAUCUACCACGAGCUUGUUCCAGCCCCCAAAUCAGCCUUUGCCCAUGUUAACAUUAUCCAACAGGAAAAUCAGUCUCAGAAUGAGCUAGGAGCUACCCUCUCCUGGCUAUAAUAUAUCCAAUAUGCAGAUGACAUCCUUCCCUCAACAACCCACCCCAACUCCUCUCAAUGCUUUUUCUGUGCUUCUCUCUCUCGACCAGUAUUAGCAGGUGUUCCAAUUAACAUUUCCCUUUAUGCCCCCAUGGAACCCUACCCAUGAGGAAAACAUAGGACAUUCUCUUUGACCUAUCCUCCCCACUUUGCCUUGUAGGGCCCUCCUCAAAACCCCAUCUUACAUGUGUCUGUGACAUCACCAUCACCAAAUCAGUAUGUGUUAACCCUCCUGCCCUCCUCUGGUACAAAGGCACUACAGGUGUCUGUAUUAACCCCCCUUUUCAAGGUUCCUGCACCCCUGUGAUAAUUGUCCCCCAGGUUUAUCUCUACAAACCUGGGGAACUCACCUUGCAGAUGGGAGAAAACUGAAAGAAGAGAGAGAUCUUCAUCCCUCUGCUCAUUGGACUAGGCCUUGUUGUCUCACUGGGUGCAACAGGGACUGCAGGAGCAGCCGUUGUUCAAACACAUCUGGCCAACAACUUCCAAGACAAGAUUUACCAGGCAAUGGCUUCUACUACAGACAGCCUUGAGUCUCUUCAAUGCCAGAUAACCUCCUUAGUAGGAGUUGUUCUUCAAGACUGGAGAGCCCUGGACUUACUGACUGAACAGGGAGGGACUUGCAUUUUGCUGGGGGAGAAUUGUUGCAUUUAUGUCAAUGAAUCUGGGUUGGUAGAACAAGAUAUACAAAUGUUCAAAGAACUCUGAGGGAACCUCUGGGCACAUACUCCCAACACCCCUACCCCUUGGUACUCUAACCCCUUGGUAUCCUGGGUUCUUCCUCUCCUUGGCCCCAUACUAGCCAUUGGAGCCUUGUUUCUCUUGGCACCCUGUCUCACUCAGUUUCUAAAGCAGCAGAUGAGCAGCAUUGCAAAAAUCGCUACCGAUCAGGUCAUGAUUCAGUAUCAAACUGUUCCCAAGAUAGGAGACCGUUAUUCCGAUGACCCCUCUCCCUUAGAAAAAAAAAAAAGUGCCCUUUGGUCCACUCCAGCACCGGGGUGCCUUGCCUGCGGAGUCUCCAGACACCCGCAAGGACCCACACAGGAUCCCCCAUGGGAUCCUAAGACCUCUGGUGAGUGGAGCACAGUGUCUGCUCCAAUCCAAUCGCACGGGACCUCAAACUGCAUUAACUAGGGAAACAGAUAACCCAGCCUGAUCAGGGGCACAAGUCCCUUCCGGUCCACUCCAGCACCGGGGUUCCUUGCAAGCAGAGUUUCUGGACACCCCCAAGGUCCUCACAGGACCCUCCACGGGAUCUUAAGACCUCUGGUGAGUGGAACACAACCUCUGCCAGGAGGCCGGUUGAACACG